CUGGGGUUUUGUAUAUGGGUAGUUUAGGCUAUACUAGGUUUGCUUAGUUGCUCUACUCAUCUUAUACACAUGCCUAAACAAGUAUUACUCUCUACAUAACUUGAUGCUUAAACUGUGCUGAACCUUUGGUCAUUGCGGUGAUGGCGAUGUUGGAUGCUUACGAGCAUCGUGAUGAUGGUGGCGACAGGGGGAGCGGGUACUGUUGGUGGUCCGGUUUGCCGGGCAUACCCGUCUCUGCUCUCCGUAAGGACUUAGUCAGGGAGCGGCCCCCUGGGACAUACAGUGCAGCUCCAAGCUAUAUGGCUCUGGCUUGACUAAUUAGCAGGACCUCCACUAGUAGGGUGUUACUUUCCGGGUAGGCGUGAGGAAGUAACUUGGGUAAUGAAUAUUAAGUUGUCGGUUGAUCGGUACGCCAUGGCUAUGGGUAUCGACUGCCGAGCGCCCCGGUAAAAACUUGCGAGUGGCAUCCUAUUAGUUGGACCCUGUGAAAGGUCUCGUAGUGAGACCCUGCCUGCUCACCUUGGCAGUGUUUUGGAGAGUCAUGACCCCAGGCAAAUGGGAAUCACGACUUGGAGUGAACGUGCACACCUCUGCAGAGUGUAAAACUGAUAUAUCAGCCGUGCUCACAGUCACGAGCGGCCCAGACCCUCACUUGAUGAGCAAAUUAGAUUCACUGGAUACUUGGAGAUGGAACUUGGCGAGGUUGCUACCUCGUGUUUUGGCGGAAUGGCUAUUCCGUGUUGGCCGGAUUGCUAUCCUGUGUUAAUAAUUGGGGUUAAUCCCUGGACUACUAUAAUUAUUAGGAUAGUCAUUUAAAAGAUGCUAAUCACUACUUACACUAAUAAAGGGUUGGGUUUAUGCUACUCAUAAUUAGUAGUAGGUUGUUCUAAUAAUAGUCAUAAUUAAAAGUGAUCAACUAAAAUGCUACCGCAGUCAAACCAAGUCAGCUUUACCUUGUUUUAAGCCUUGCAUGUCAUUACUUUCCGUCUGUGCUUGCUGAGUUCGACAUGAACUCACCCUUGCUAUUCCCCCCACACCCCAGUGUGUAGUAAAGUGCUGCUCAGAAGAAGAACAAAGAUGUUAUGGAGUUUUCUAGAAGCUUAUCAGAAGUGCUUGGCGUACGGAGCCCCCAGUCAACCGUCCCUGAGAAGAAUGGAGCCUAAGAAGUUUAGCUACUGUUUCCGCGUACUCUGAUGUUUGUAAGUGUUAAUAUAAAUAUGUUUUCCGCUAUAUAACAUUGUUUCUGAUAUUUCUAUUCUUUUGUUAUAUGUGUGGACUUCCUGGGCACACAUAUGACGACUCUGGUCUUAUUUUAAAAGCCAGGGUGUGACAGGAAUGGUAUCAGAGCAAUGUUGACUGUAGGACGUAUGCCUAGAUAGCGCUGGUCGAUUUCUAAAGCUUAUUUUGCUAUAAAACUAUUUUCUUAUACCUUGACCCUUGAUUCUGAUUAUUUCUUCAUCCUUGUCAUGUUGUAUCCCCUCCUUGAAUAGCUUCCUUUGAGCUAUUUCUACUAAUCUCCUUGGCUUUUGUUUAGUUGUUCUACUUAAGUUUACAAAACUUGCUUUAUUCCAAAAUUCGAUGACCCUUCAUCAUCUCGGACUUGCCUUUUAGGAUGACCAUCACUGUUGAAGAAGUUCGUGUAGUGUCGAUGAUGUAUUGUAUGCUUGUCUUGCUUGUUUGUAUUGCUUGUGUGUUAUCCUUGUUCUCAUGUUCUGAAGGAUGCCCAGUUUAUUUUGAUCCAUGUUAUGUGGGGUAGAUCCUCUACCACUCUUGAUAUCUUGAACAAAAGGAAGUUUGAAGAUUGUCUCUUGUUUAUCUCCCUUGCCUCCUCGAAUCUCAGGACAUGAUUCUUAUUAAUUUGGAGGGUGUUAUGUUGUGUUUAAAGUGGAGAAUCCUCUAAGCUAGUUUUCCUACAAUAUGAUGUUCACCUAUAUGUUCUCGAAGAUAAGCCAUACUUUGUCAGAGUGGGGUAGCGUCCGCUACCGUCAUCUAUCUCAAGUAUCCCUAGUUUCAGGACACGAAGAACUAAAGAUCAAUCUUUAUCUUUCAUCUCUAUUAUUUUUGUCAACAAUUUUUAUCUUUCUUGUUAAUCUCUCUUUAUCAUUUUAGUUAUCAUUCUUCAUCUCUCUUAUCACCAUUUGCGAUCUUGGAUGGUUGUUGCAUUUCGUAAAAUCUCAAAAGAAUCUUAAAGAACAACCUUUAUCCUUCCUACCAACCCUUGUGAGUCUACAAUCCUUUCAUCAUCUCACACCAAAGAUCUUGAAAAAAAACUUGGAAGAUUAAUCUCCAUCUUCUUUGUCAAGCUUGGCUAAUUCUCAAUCAUUUUAUCUUAAAUCCCAUAAAUCUUGAAUGAAGAAAAUAUGAGCACUAUAAGAUCUAUUUUUUAUCUUUUAUACCAUCUUUUGCUAGUCCUAGCUCCUUAUCUUUACACCUCGUAAUGUGAAGACUCGAUGAUCAAUCUUUAUCUAUUUUUUCUCACAUCCUUAUAUAUUUCUUUUCAAUAUAUCUUGACCUUCAAUAAAGCCUGAUAAGUAUCAUGGAUAUCAAUCCUUGUCUUUAUUAAAUCUGUAAUCCUUUCAUCAAUCAAUCGUUAACAUCCUUGUCAACUUUUGGUAGUCCUUAGUUCUUUCAUCACAUCUCUCGUAAAUCUUGAAUCAAGAAAAUGGUGAGCACCAUAAGAUCAUUUUUGUCAUUUCUCUAUCAAACCUUGUUAAAUUUUUUUUACCCUUUUAUCAUAUCUCAUAUAAAAAAAAUUCUCACACUCAACCUUGAUGAUCUACUUCAUCUUUCUCACAAGUCUUUCCAAAUAUCGGGACGAGAUUCAUGUUAAGUGGGGUAGAUCUAUAACACCCCAAAAUUCUUAUUUUGAGUUGUUAUUAUAAAUCAAUAAAAAAAUAAAGGGUUUUAAUAUGUGGAUAAAAUUUGCCAACAAUAGUUUAGAUUUUUAUAUUUUUAUCAACGAAAAGUGGUGUUUUUCAAAUGUUAUGGAAUUAACUAGACGAGCUUUAGUUGAUGUGAUGCUUGCUUAUUACUUGAGUUUGUUAUUUUUAUGUGUGCUAAGAUUUUAAAAACACGUUUAGACGUCGUCCGAUGCUUCCCGAGAAUUUUUCGGACUUUUUAAGACUUUUCCCCAUUUUUCUAAAAUAAAAAUCUAAUUUUGGAUGCUCUAAAUUCUUUUUCAUAGACACCAAAAACUUUAUUUGGAUUGAUCAACUCUCAAUAUAUCUCUAAAAGUUUUCCUUUAAUUUUUAGAAUUUUGGAAAUAUUUUUUUCAGGAAUUUAAAAUGAUUUCAGCUUUUUCUAGAAUUAUUUUGGAACUGAAAAUAAUUUAUUUAAAAUCCCGAAAUUAAGAAAUUCCAAAACUUUUCCAAACCCUAGACCUAUAUAUAUGCCGGCGUAGCCCUCGACGCGCUGAUUCCAGAAGUACGAUCGCUUUCCCGAGCCGCCUUUCGUAGCUCCGCAGAUCCAUCGCCGAAGUUUUGGAUCUCGUUUCCGGUGAACUUUUCCGGUGAAAGUUCGGCGAGGUUUUCCGGCCAACUCCGGCGUCCUCUGCGAAAACCGUCACCGCUGCGAGGUUCGUCUCGUCGUCCUCUACACCGGCACGCCAUUCGUUUUGUAAAUCCGGGCUAGUUUACUGUUUCCCUAACCUCUCUUCUUUUCCGGCGAACUUUAUCCAUGGCCGGCAUCGUCUUCAUCACCUCCGGCGAUUCCUUGUACCAGCAGCUGGACGUCGCCGCCUCAGACUCGCGACCCCAGCCGGACCAGCGCGCGGCCUCGUGCGCCCCUGCUUGCGAGCAGCAGGACGCCGCCGCUGCCUCGUGCAGCACGGCUGCCCCUUGCAGCCCUGUCUCGGACGGCCGCCGCCACAGGCCUUGCUCGGCUUGGAGCCGCCCUCUGGCUCGCCAAGGUCCUGGUCGUUCCCCGUCGCUGGCCGGCCAGGCGGCCGUCCCUGGCCCCCGUCCGUGUGAGCAGCGGCAGACCCUUGGCCAUGUACGGAUGACUCAAGGUAGAAGAUGAAAGUAAUUACAAGUUUGCCACUGGUCAUUAAUCCUUUGUCAUUGAAUCGUUCUAACUCCGUUUCAUUCCGUUUUAAUUGCGUUAGUUUCGUAACGUCGCGCUCUACGCAGUAGUGCUAACUUUUAUUUUGUCAUAUUUUUUUUAUAUAUAUAUUUAGUUGAAUAUUAGAUUAAUUAAUAUAUGCACCUAAAUCUAUAAUUAAAAGCAAUAUAGAGUUAUAAUCAUGAUUUCUAUUGUUUUAUGACCAUGACAACGUAAAUGACUUGUUAGCGAUACUGUUUUCCAUGUCCCAUGUUUGUAAAUAUAAUUAGUUUAAUUAAUAUUUAUUGAGUGUCAUUUUUUAAUUAAUAAAAAAACAAUUUAGGUUUACACUUUGGUAUUUUUAUAAUCUAAUAUUAACUUGAUUAAUGUUAACUUAAAUAUUUAUUAGUUAUAAUUCUUUUAGUUAGACAUAAAGUAUAUAAUUAAUUUGUUUAAUAUUUAUUUAAUGUCUUUUUGGAUUAAAGUAACUUAUGUUUAUAAUUUAGAUCUUUUAUAAAUAAAUAAAUGUUAACAUUAUUAAUAUCAACUUAAAUGGUUCUUUAUUAGUUAUAACUUGUUAUAUAAAUGUGACGCAUGUUAGGAUUUGAUUAGUUGCUCUCACUUGCUUUGUGUUUUCUAAAAUUACAAAGGCGUAAAUAGCUUAAAUGAUAUAUAAUCAUCUACAAUUAAAAUAUAACUGAAAUUUAACUCCGGCUUUUAUAAUUCAACAUAAUUUGGUUAAUCUAAAAUUAGGAUAGUUCUAUUAAAUGUCUGUCAUUUUAUUUCAUUAAAUAAAAUACGACCAGCGUGUAGUCGUCUUCUUCGUUACACUUCGAACCUCGAAAGUCGUAUCUGUUUAACGAUAGCUCCGUUCUCAACCGUUCUUGCGUUGUCACGAUCGUAGCAAUAAGCCGUGUCGUUUAGUGCGCUCUUUCUAAGCUUUUCUUUUGAUUGAUGCUUGUUCUUAGUCGUGAUUGUUUGUUUGUCUGUUGGUGUUGCUUGUUUGCUACGAGUAGAAGAAGCGUGGUUCAUCAACAGUGAAGAUCAGUUGCUGAGGACCGACAGUCGAAGCAGAAGUUGGAGAUCAGAAGAAAGAAGCCAAAGAAUUCUGAGCAGAUAUACACUAGGAAUUAAGGCAAGUGCAGACACCGUUUGAUCAUUUUGAACCUAUUCAUUAAUGCCAUUUACUUUAUUACGCAUGUGUCCAAUGAAUGCAAACCCUAAGGACAUGACUAGCUUUACUUACUAUUCCUUGUUCACCUGGGGUUUUGUAUAUGGAUAGUUUAGGCUAUACUAGGUUUGCUUAGCUGCUCUACUCAUCUUAUACACAUGCCUAAACAAGUAUUACUCUCUACAUAACUUGAUGCUUAAACUGUGCUGAACCUUUGGUCAUUGCGGUGAUGGCGAUGUUGGAUGCUUACGAGCAUCGUGAUGAUGGUGGCGACAGGGGGAGCGGGUACUGUUGGUGGUCCGGUUUGCCGGGCGUACCCGUCUCUGCUCUCCGUAAGGACUUAGUCAGGGAGCGGCCCCCUGGGACAUACAGUGCA
rnacentral:lncRNA from 1 species